UACGUAGGGUGCAAGCGUUAAUCGGAAUUACUGGGCGUAAAGCGUGCGCAGGCGGCUUUGCAAGACAGAUGUGAAAUCCCCGGGCUUAACCUGGGAACUGCAUUUGUGACUGCAUGGCUAGAGUGCGGCAGAGGGGGAUGGAAUUCCGCGUGUAGCAGUGAAAUGCGUAGAUAUGCGGAGGAACACCGAUGGCGAAGGCAAUCCCCUGGGCCAACACUGACGCUCAGGCACGAAAGCGUGGGGAGCAAACAGG
rnacentral:rRNA from 1 species